AGGCGAAGGCCUGGGACAGCACCUGGUGCCGGUUCUCCCACAUCCUGCCCAGCUCCUCCCAACCCGUGUCCAGCGCCUCCAGGCGCCGCUGCAGGAAGACGUGCUGCGCGUCCGUCUGUCCCCGCGUCACCUCGCCGCCCACCGCCCUGGUGCUGCGGUAAUCGUCGCCGUAGUGGGCGAUCUCCUUGCGGAUGCUCUCGUGCUGGCUCAGCAACCGCUCGGCUUCUCCCAGCGUGGCCGGCACGUCCUCGGAGGCCACGGCGGUUUGGGCAGCGCCGCAGCUCGGCCCACACCGCCUCGAUGCCCGCCAGCCGCUGGCCGAUGCCGGCCUCGUGCUCCGGGUGCUCGGCCGACAGCUUGUCCGCCUCGGCGCGCAGCUCGUGCACCUUGCCCUGGAUGGCCUCCAGGUCUCGCUCCAUGCCCGACAGCUUGCGCUGCAGCGCCAUGACGCCGGCCAGGUGGAAGUUCUGGAUGUUGAGCGCCGAGGUCAGCGCUUCCUUCUUCUGGUCGGCCAAGGCGCGGAACCGCUCCCACCUGCAUGGGGGGAACGUGGGGACGCUGUGGUCACCGUGCCCGGAGCUGGGCGCAGGGUGACACGGAACUGACAGAGGGGGUGGGGUAGGCCGGAGGGUCCUUAAAGAUCGUAGAAUGGGUUCAGGUGGGUCAGGGGGUCCUUAAAGAUCACAAAAGCAUGGAAGGGAUUGGGCUGGGUUGGGUUGGGUUGAGUUGGGAUAGACUGAGUUGUAUUGGGUUGGGUUGAGUUGGGUUGGGUUGGUUGAGUUGGAUUGAGUUGGGUUGGUUGAGUUGAGUUGGGUUGAGUUGGUUUGGGUUGGGAUGAGUUGGGUUGGGUUGGGUUGGGUUGGUUGAGUUGGGUUGAAUUGGGUAGGGUUGAGUUGGGUUGGGUUGGUUGAGUUGGGUUGAGUUGGGUUGGGUUG
rnacentral:lncRNA from 1 species